CUUGCAAGCGCUCCUGUUUAUCCUCACGCUUCUCUUUAAUGUACAGUACCAAUAUGAUGAGUAUUAUGACCAGGCAAGUGCCUCCAAGGGCUACAACACUCAUCAGGAUCAGUUUACUGGGAGUAACAAACAGCUGAGCCUUCCAGUGCGAUGGCUCAUUCAGUGGCUUGGCACCACAAUAAUCUGUGAGUUUGGAAUCACCAGGCCUACGGCCAGCGGAUCUUCAAAGUUGGGUGUUNGUUUAAUUUCUAAAGGCAAUUUAAGACUUAUUAUUGAAGCUCCCAAUGGAUAAAAUUAAGAGAUACCCUAUUAAUUCGAAAUAUUACACAAUUUGAAAUAAUAAAAUGAAUCAACUGUCAUUUGACACGUUUGACAACGCUGACACGUUAAGAUUUCUUAGUUUAAAGUUUGUCGCAUAACAUGGCGUUGAACUGGAAUCUGUGCGACUCUUGCAAGCGCUCCUGUUUAUCCUCACGCUUCUCUUUAAUGUACAGUACCAAUAUGAUGAGUAUUAUGACCAGGCAAGUGCCUCCAAGGGCUACAACACUCAUCAGGAUCAGUUUACUGGGAGUAACAAACAGCUGAGCCUUCCAGUGCGAUGGCUCAUUCAGUGGCUUGGCACCACAAUAAUCUGUGAGUUUGGAAUCACCAGGCCUACGGCCAGCGGAUCUUCAAAGUUGGGUGUUCGGCCCAGGCCAAAGCAGGUGUACGGCAGUUGUAGGGCAAAAUAGGAUGCUCCAACACCCAUAUCUGCAAAGCUGGUGAUAGCAUAUUC
rnacentral:lncRNA from 1 species